rnacentral:misc_RNA from 1 species
UAGAGCUUCACAGUUUCGAGUUGUGAAAGCUGUUGCAACUCCAAAUUCAGCAGUAGAGCCAAAUUCAUCAUUAGAGUUACCGCUUACUUCAGAGAACAUUGAGAGUGUGCUGGAUGAAAUUCGACCAUAUCUGAUUUCAGAUGGAGGAAACGUUGCAUUGCAUGAAAUUGAUGGCAAUGUUGUGAAGCUAAAACUUCAAGGAGCGUGUGGAUCCUGUCCAAGUUCAGUCACGACAAUGAAAUUGGGAAUUGAGCGUCGUUUGAUGGAAAAGAUACCAGAGAUUGUUGCUGUUGAAGCAGUACCAGAUGAAGAAACUGGCCUUGAGCUUAACGAGGAAAACAUAGAGAAGGUUCUUGAAGAGAUACGGCCAUAUCUUGUUGGGGCAGCUGGUGGAAGUUUAGAACUUGUGGCAAUUGAGGAGCCAAUAGUUAAAGUCCGAAUCACAGGUCCUGCAGCUGGUGUAAUGACAGUUCGUGUGGCUGUAACUCAGAAACUGAGGGAAAAGAUACCAUCAAUAGCAGCAGUUCAACUCUUGCAGUAGAAUGUGGAAAUUGGCUCAGUUUGUGACGCCUUCAUACAUUACCUAUGUACCAGCAAAGGAAACAAUACAGCUACUUUGUACAGUUGCUCUGCAUCUAUUUCAGUCUUUAUGUUCUAUAUUGUAUUAUUUGAAUAGGCACAUCCUGGAAAGGGAUUUAUAAUACCCAGUUUGUGUGGAUGAAGAUGACCCUGUUAUGUGAGUUCAGAUGCGGGAGAAGACUUAUCAAUGAUGAGUACCGAAGAGAAAAUUUCACGCGCAGACCAGACUGAUGGUUGUGAGCCCAAAUAAUAACCCCUAUUUAUAAGGUGCUGUUGGCUUUGAAAUAAGAAGACUUAUCAAUGAUGAGUACCGAAGAGAAAAUUUCACGCGCAGACCAGACUGAUGGUUGUGAGCCCAAAUAAUAACCCCUAUUUAUAAGGUGCUGUUGGCUUUGAAAUA